GAUGAACGCUGGCGGCGUGCCUAAUACAUGCGAGUCGAGCGAACAGACGAGGAGCUUGCUCCUCUGACGUUAGCGGCGGACGGGUGAGUAACACGUGGAUAACCUACCUAUAAGACUGGGAUAACUUCGGGAACCGGAGCUAAUACCGGAUAAUAUAUUGAACCGCAUGGUUCAAUAGUGAAAGACGGUUUUGCUGUCACUUAUAGAUGGAUCCGCGCCGCAUUAGCUAGUUGGUAAGGUAACGGCUUACCAAGGCAACGAUGCGUAGCCGACCUGAGAGGGUGAUCGGCCACACUGGAACUGAGACACGGUCCAGACUCCUACGGGAGGCAGCAGUAGGGAAUCGUCCGCAAUGGGCGAAAGCCUGACGGAGCAACGCCGCGUGAGUGAUGAAGGUCUUCGGAUCGUAAAACUCUGUUAUUAGGGAAGAACAAAUGUGUAAGUAACUAUGCACGUCUUGACGGUACCUAAUCAGAAAGCCACGGCUAACUACGUG
rnacentral:rRNA from 1 species